CAAAAAGACGAAGAAUAAUUAUGUAAUUUGAUGUGGAUACAAUGGACAGAAUUACGAGAAUGGAAUUGUAAUGAGAGAAGACCGAAAAGACCACUGGUAGCGUUUAUUGAGCGAGUGGCUGGGAAUUGGGCCGAAGUCACAGAAGAAGAAACACAUAUAGGCACUACAAUGGUCGACUUUGAUCGGCCGCUCCUCCUUCCGCCAUCUUUCCUCAGUCAUCCCCCGGUGCAUGAUGGGGAGGCAGGGGGGCCGCUUCAGGGGCACGUAGUGAGUGUCAACGCGGUGACGUAAUGGAUGUCAGCCAAUCACAAGACGGCAACGACAGUGACGUAAAAAGGCAAAAAUAUAGCCGAAGGUUGUCAUUCUUUUUUAAAAGUUGUGACGAACUAGCAUGUUUUUUUAAAUCUAGUGUUGUUGUUUUUUUACAAUUAAAAUAAGCACUCAUUUCUUAUUUACUUUUUAAUUUAUGAUUUUGUAAUAAAAAAAAUGUAAAUGUUGAUACGAAUACUUAAAAAUAAAACGAA